rnacentral:rRNA from 1 species
AAUUGGAGGGCAAGUCUGGUACCAGCAGCCGCGGUAAUUCCAGCUCCAAUAGCGUAUAUUAAAGUUGUUGCAGUUAAAAAGCUCGUAGUUGAAUUUCGGGGUCAGCAGGUUGGUCGUGCCACUGGUAUGUACUAGCCUUGCUGAUUCCUCCCUCUUGAUGAGCCGUAAUGCCAUUAAUUUGGUGUUGCGGGGAAUCAGGACUGUUACUUUGAAAAAAUUAGAGUGUUUAAAGCAGGCAUGCGCUUGAAUACAUUAGCAUGGAAUAAUGAAAUAGGACGUUUGAUCCUAUUUUGUUGGUUUCUAGGAUUGACGUAAUGAUUAAUAGGGAUAGUUGGGGGCAUUAGUAUUCAAUUGUCAGAGGUGAAAUUCUUGGAUUUAUUGAAGACUAACUACUGCGAAAGCAUUUGCCAAGGAUGUUUUCAUUAAUCAAGAACGAAAGUUAGGGGAUCGAAGACGAUCAGAUACCGUCGUAGUCUUAACCAUAAACUAUGCCGACUAGGGAUCGGAUGAUGUUAAUUUUUUAAUGACUCAUUCGGCGCCUUACGGGAAACCAAAGUGU